GGCCCCGGCCCGGCGGGGACACCCCCGCACCCGCCCGUGGGCGGCGGAGCGGUGCCCGCGCCUGCGGCACGGAGCGGGGGCGGCAGCGCCGCCUCCUCGUGCGGCCGCGGGCCGUGCGCGGAUGUCACCGCCGCCCCCCGCGCACCCCGGGCGCGCUCUCCAGGCUUUGUGCCGCCGCGAGCGCCCAGUCUGCCCCGUAACCCCCGCCGAGCCCCGUGCGUGGCCGGUGACUGAGCCCCGGGGCACGGGGGGGGAGCGGGACUGUCCCGGAACACGCGCGGCUGCGGGUCCGCUCCGCAUCGAGCCGCGCCCGGAGCCUCAUCCUGCACCGGGAGCGCGACUCGUGCUGGGGGUUAGAAACGAGAGGGCCAGAGGAGGAUGGGAGGCCGGGGAUGGCGGCAGGGCCCGGGGAGAUCCCCCCGGGGCUGGCGGAUGGGCGCUCAGCGGCUCUGCAGGCGCAGGACGGUCCCUCUGGAAGCCUCUCCUUUGGAAAGGCAAGCGGGCAUUUCGGACAGCACCAUUCAAACGUUGAUGAGAACAUGCUGACAGGAGUAGGAAGAGUAUUAAUAAAUAUUGCUGUUGUUGGAAAUGCUUUUUCAUUUUCUGGAAAAAACUCCCACCCUGUUUCCUAAAGGUCUUGGAAGUCGGCAUUCCCUUGUCCCCUUUCUGAACAGCAUGCCCCAGCUUGAAUCUUUGUCUCAAGUAUGCAGUGUCCUGACCUCUCCUGCUUUCUCCUGGGCUCUGGGAUCAGCAGUGUCUCACAGGAUUAGAAAUAAAAUGGAGAAUAAUAAGAUGGAGAAAGCACGUCGAAAUAUUUUUUGAAAAGGGCCAGGUAGGCUAAAUGAAUCUCUUCUAGAUUCAUGUUGUAUCUGGCACUGCCAUGGGCCAGGAGCAUCUCCAGAGCGGGAUUCCCUGGCCGGGGCUUGCUGCAGGCUGCCGUGCCCGCGGGAGACCCCGGGAGCUCUCCGCCCUGUUCCCGUUCGGCGCAAACCUCACGGAAAGCCGCGGCUCCGGUCACGUGCCCGGGACGCGUCCCGGCCGUGCGGCCGCAGCGGGAACGGGCGGCGGCGGCUCCGGGCGCGGCUCCGCCGGGCUCACCCCGGAGCAGCUCCCGCAGGAACAGCCCGGCGCAGGACGGGCCUGUACUUAUGUCUACAGCCAUAAAAGUCUGUCGGUGGGACAGAGCGAGGGAGUAGCGGAGGAGGAGUGAGGCGCUUCCUUCUGGAAAGCAAGAAGAAGUUAUGGAUGUAUUUGUGUUCUAGGGUGGCCGGCAGCAGGCAGUUCAGGACAGCUUCCCAGUGAGGUCUUGCACCCUGCAGUGACAAAGUGACUGUGGACCUGAGAGUGAGAUAAAGCGAUGAGAACGCCGUCCCUUUCAUCUUCAAAACAGUGAUCCUGUAUUUUGACUGAAUAUCAGAAAGGUCCUGCUUUAAAAUCCUCAUGUCAAAGUUGACUUUUUAAGAACUAGUCUUUUUUUCAUUAUAUCGUAUAAAGAGCAGUUAGUUUUUCCAUGGUGGCGUUUUACCUGCAGAGUUUGUUUCUGAUUUCUUACUACCCUUCCUCAUGGCCUAAGAUGUAUGUUGGGGUUUGUACUCCAUGUAAGUUUUGCCCAUCAACCUCUGUUAUCUUCCACAUUAACAGUAGGAUAUUAAAAAAAAUAUUUCUCAUAAUUUCUGGUUCCUUCAAUUAACUCUAAUGUUUAAUGAAUUUCAUUCAAGUUCCUAUGGAAUAUUGUUGGAAAGCUUGUGAAAAGAGCUAAAAAAAGCAAAAGAGGCAAUAAUGUGCAGAGUGAAGCUCACCAGAAUUUACUAGCUGUGUCAGGUGAGAACAUCACGGUUACUUAAUUUAAAUGUGAAGAAUAUAACCCUACUCUUUGGUUUCCAAAUGAUACUUCAUUGGUGUAUACAGGUACAGAGGGAGGUUUUUGAAACAAACAUUGUAAGGCUCAGGUUCAUAAUGUAUUCCAAUACACGAUGCUUCAUUUUAUAUGUUUUUAUUUUUUACCAUUAUUUUCCACUUUAGGAAGCAAUAGGAGGAGAGCUUUAGAGCUGUACUUGAACACAGAUGGUAUGGUGGCACAGCAUUUGCUGCAUCUUGUUUCAAGUUAUGUUACAGAGUUCAUUUUUAACAUAAGCUAAAAACCCUUAUUUUGUAGAAAAGUCUCAUUGAAAUGGCAACCACCCAAAUAUAGAGCAUACAUUUUCAGAGGUACUUGAAUAUUUUCUGGUAACAUGAUAAAAAAAAUUAACUGAUGCAAGAAAAAUUAUAAUCCUUAAAAGUGCAUAAAGAACCCUGGAGACUGGAGCCUGCAUUAGAAUGAAGCGCAAGUGUGUAUUGCAUUUUGAUAUUUCCAGGAAAUAUAGGGGAAUCCCGUGUGAAGUAGGCUGCGAUACUGUAGGCAACGUUAAUAGUUUUGUGGAAGGAAAACAUCAGCCUUUCCAUUACUUUUGGUUUUGGAGGGAACGGAACAUGUCCUGCAACAACCCUAACUGCCACUAACCAUAGUUUGUGUGUGCGUCAAUAGACGCUGCACUCUUUCCCCUUUAAGUGGGCUAUUUUUGCCAAACACCAUUGCCACUCCUCUGGAUUUCAUGAACGCUGCCAUUUGGAACAGAUCCAAGGAAUUAGACGUUACUCACCUUUGCAUAUGCUGUCUCAAACAGAUACUCGCCUGCUGUCUUUUAUUUUUACAUUUCCUGCACUUUUCCCCCACUGUGGAAUGUUGUAUUUUGUCUUGCUUGUUGCAGUUUUGACCAGGGAACUCGGUCUCUUAAAAACCAAGGCUUUAAGCAGCUUUCCUGUUCUUCAGAUGCAUUUUCUCUGUUGCUCUCCUCACAGCUUUUUGUUCGAUGACUUGCACUUUCACUAUCUCAGACUGUCAGGCGGCAGCCAGCAGCAAAAACUCAUUUGUAGAGUUAGAAACAUUUGCAUAUGAAAGUACCUAUAUGCGUGUUUAUUUACACUCAUUCUUACUUUACUUUCUUACAUGAGAAGAAGAAAUGGAGGGAUGGGGAGGGGAAAAAAUUACUCCAGAUAUAUUUUAUUUCCCCUCUAAACCAGUUUUUAGUUCUUCCCUCCCAUCCUUUCUCCACAAGUGCUUAGUUGUUCUUUCUUGUGCUUAAACAUAACUAAUUAAAAUUAGAUGAGUACAAGAUUGGGUUAUCCCCAUGCUAGAGGAGUAUGUCAUGAUUUUUGGGGGUCAACCUCAUAGACAGGAGCAAGAACAACAACUCAGGAAAUCCGUAAGAACAGCUCUUAGAAGUCGGUGGAUGCUGUCAGGACUGGAAGGCUCUGUGGUGGUGACUCUUGGUGCUAACCAGGCUGCUGCUAGAAUAUAGAGAUGUCCUGAGAUACUGUUGGUUGGUGUUUGUGUUGGUUUUGGGUAUUUAUUUUUUUUUUUUUUCCUGGGAACAGGAAAAUGAGCAAAGGCAGCCUAGCAAAGGGCAUUUCCCCAGAGACCAGGAGAUGAUUCUGCAAAUUUACGGCCUGCAGAGGGAAGAAAAGAAGAGCUGGCAGCUCUGUUGUGUGCUCUCCUGCUGGUAAGAGCUACAUUUCCAAAAGCUGCUUGCUUAAAAUCCUGACUGCUGUGAUUUUGUUACAUACCUAUCUGGGCUGAUUCUCUGGCUACAUGAUCAUAUACAUAUGUGUGUAAUUUAUGCAGCCUUUGUGUGCUUCUGUAGGGUUUUGAAUUUCUUUCUCCCAUUUAGCAGAAGUAAGAUCCUUCACUUUCUGGAAUAAAAACAUUUAUUUACAUUUUUAGGUAUAUAUUGUACCUAUCUUUAUUUUUUCCUUGGCCACUGCCUGUGAUUUGCAAGCCAAACUUCAAGCUUUGCAGAAGCUUUUGUUCACCUUCUUUGUAGUCUGAUUGUGCUUUUGGAUCAAUGGAUACUCUUCUUCCUCGGGACACUCUUGUAGGUUGACCAUCCUGAAAGACUUAAGUGAAGGAUGCAUGCAUUUAGAGUAUUCUUUUCCUUUUUGUUCCCUCCCCCAUCCCCAAUGUUCUAAAAUGAGUCAGAUUCUGACUCUCUGUCUGGUGCCAGUGAUAAAACAUGAAUUGUGGAUAAGGCUACUAUUUUCCAUCAUUGAGUGGAAAGUAGUCGGAGCUGCUGGAUUUCACAAGGCCUUUCUCUCUGCCUCAUCAAACAUUCUGUAGUCUCUCCUCAUCUGUAUGUAGUCUAAUUUUUUAUAAAAAUUACAAAUCUAGCCAAAGAAUCAACGCACCAGUGACUCCUGCAUAAGUAAUACUUUACCCUGGAUUCAAAUCCUUAAAUUAUUUUGUAUAUGGAUGGAUUUAGGUGUAUUUAUUUGAGAGUUAGUGCAUGGUUGGAAGUGUCCCUAAGGGUCAUUCCUCCAAUUCAUCUGUCAGUACAAUGCGAAGAUACUUUCCACCAAAAUUAUUUUAAAAUGUUUGCAAACAUGUUGUCAACAGUGACAAGUAUCCAAGGAGGACAGGAUGCCCAACAAAUAAAGGGCAUAGAAAUGAUGAAUUGUAGGUUACCACAUUCCCUGAUUCUGAAAAAAAUUAAUGUAAAAUGGCAACUGCCUUUACAGAACCCAUCACCAAGUGAUGGAGAUAAAUCAUCACUGCUCUGUGCUUCCUACUGACCUUUCUGAGAAAGGAAGCUAGAUGCUGGUCUGCCUUGUUUAGAAAAAGUUCCUGAAACUUACCAAAGACUGCAAGUUUGCAGAGAGGUCACUGAGAGCUGGAUUUACUCUAAAGAACUUUAUUUCUGACCCUCAGUGUAUGAGAUGUGGAAAAACAUCAGGAAUUGGCUGCAUUUACAGGUCAGCAAUAACUUCCAAAAAUCCAUUAGCUAAAAGGAGGUUUGAGAGAUCUGGGUGGUGAGGCUAUCACAUACACAUAUGCAAGUUUGUAUGUAUGCAUACAAAUCUCAUUUAUUUCCUUCCAUUGUAGUGUUCAAGUACACUAGGGACAUUCUAAAAGUGUGCAAAUUCUUGAGUUGUUGAGAGCUCAUUUUGAAAAAGGCAUCAUGCCAUUGCUUUGGGUGUAUCUGUUUUCUUAGGGAAAGUCCAGUUUGUUUCUGUACUUGCACUGAUCUUACAAUAUUAGAUAUGAACUGAAAAGUUGCACAUAAUAACAAAGUUCAUAGCUCAUGGGUAAGGGUGAUUAAUCAGACUAUUUUGAGAUGCAGCUAGGGAGCAAGUGUUUUAGGGAUGCUGCUGCAAUCAUCAGAAUUUUGAAGAAUCCAAAUAAAAUAUCCCCACCAUCAGCAACAAUAAGGAGAUUUAACAGGAAUGUUUGAAAACACUUGUCUAGAUAGAGGCCUGUAAGUAGAAUAUACAUGGUUUAUAUAUUAUGAUGUUAUUAUAUUAUCAUUCCUGUCUGCCUAAUGCUGAGGUAUUUGCAUGUCUUCCAAAGAUACAAAGAGCCUAUCACAUGUAUUUUCUUCACCAUUUCUCCCUCCAGGAAGCAAGAAGGAUGGUGCCAAAAUAGGCACACUGUGCCCUGGGAUGCAGGAAGGUGGUUGGGCACCUGCUCCUUUGGGAGCACUGACUGGACCUGAGUGCUCUGGGGCUGCAAGUAUGAGUUUGAGUGAACUUAGCGUGGCAUUGGUAAAUUAACUGUGCGUCAGUCUUAUCCCAGUCCUUCACACAGGGCUGAAUUACUGAAUCCAGAGUACUCCUGUUCAUUUAUGGAUUAAUACAGUUCUUUACUUUUUGCAAACAAUGACCAUUGGGAUUUGGGAACUCGGAACUCUUUAGCUUGUAUUCUUUUCCACCGUGUGUAACUGCUCUUGAGUGAGCAGGGUAACAGUUAAAAAGUGUAGCCAGAAGAGACAGGAUGUCUUGAAGCAAACUUGAGACUAACAUCAUCCUAUUAUACCUACUUUGAUUUAUUUUUGGGCUUAUUUUUUAUUUAUUUGUUCUUACUAGCUAAUGUUAUUUUAAUGUUGAUUGUCAGGAGAAAGGCUCCAUAAUGUCUUGGUUCAAAUAAUUUGUGCCACUUAAUUUCAGAGCUUCUCAUUUUGUAUGCAUUUUUCCUGAAUUUGUCUCUUAUUUUUUAAAGAUAAAUUAUUUAUUUUCUUUGCAUUCUUUAGAAAUAGAACAUAGUUGUUGGAGUUGAAGGGAUCAGAAAAAAAAUGCUAAGGUGCAAGUCUCAUAGGGUAUGUUCUGAGGAUUUCUGGAGGACCUAAAAAAUGAAACAGCAUAGCUCCUCUAGGAUACACACCAAUUUCUAAACUCUCACUCUAAAAUUUGCCAUUAAAAGGAUCAAUGGGUAACAUACUGAAUCUAUAUGUCUAUAAGGUAAUCCAAGGAAUUAUGAAUACAAAUUGUUUAUCAGCUUAUUAAUUGAAGUUAAAAAUGAAAUGAGACAGUACUUCAAAAGUCAUUUUAUGAGGUGGUCCCUUUAAUUUCUAGAGUAAAAAAAUCUCAUUAAUCACUUACUGGUAUCUGAACAGUUUGGUAGAGCUGUGGAUGGAGGUAAAUUUACUAAUAUAUUUUACUUAGAUUUCCACAAGCCCUUGGCAAAAUUAUCACAACAGACUACUAAAGAAAUUGAAAAUGUAGUUUUACAAGGAAAACUGAGGCCCCUAAAUACAUACCAAAGUAACUUUAUUCAAGUUAUAGGCAUUAAUAGCACUUCUAAUCUUGAAGCUUUGCUUAAUGCAGUAGGAAUUUACAUUUUCUACUGGUAAAAUCGCUCAGUUCCCUUGUUUUCGCUGCCGAGCAUGUGCAAAACCAUCUUGACAGCUCCAAGCUGCUAAGCCCCAAAGAAAUACAUAAAAUAAGCAUUUUCUUGCAAGUUUCCUCACAACUGCCUGUCAGCUUCAGUUUUGCAUCCCAGCAACCAAUUUCAACUCACUUUAUUUUAUACUGAUUACAUUUAUCAGAAUUUAUUUUAUAUUCUUGGUAGGAUAUUGAAGGAAGAUCUCAGGGCCACAUAUUGCUGCUGAAGUGUUAGACAGCAUUUAGCAUGAACAGGAUCAGGAAUGAAAACCUGGCAUUUUUUAGCCUGGUUGCCUUUGAAGUUAGCUUUGUGAGAUUGUGUUGUUUAUCUCUCUGUACAUUCAGCAAUUCCCCCGAAAAACUUUGGGAAUGGGUUGCAAGCAAAUUUGAAAGAUGAGCUGAAAUCUCAAGAUAAAUAAGGUCUGUGAAAAACUGCAGCUGUACAGAGGACAAAGCGUGUAAUGAAACGCCUGUGCUGAGGGAGAGGCAGGUGGGUGCAGCCCUUCCACAGCGGCUGAGCCCCCAGCCUGGUGGAGUGGGCUCUGAGAUUUUUGAUUGAGCAUAGCAUGUGCCCUAUAGACAGUGGCCUUGCAAGAGAACCUGAGGUUGUAAUGGCAGAAGAGAUUUUUAGGAGACAAGGAACUUAAGUCUAUGAAAACAAUCAAUCAAACCCCACCUCAUUUGUUUAAUUUCUUACAAAACAACUUGCUUCUCUUGCCCUGCCUCUUCUUCCUCCUUUUGGCCCUGAACACCUUUUUUCCUCCCAGGAUCUCUGGAGUCUGUUACUAUCUUUGUAUUCCCUUUGCUCUCCUGGCUCAGCAUCAAUGCCUGUAACUUAACCAGUCUAAGGAUCUUGUCUGAUUUGGAAAUGAGGUCUCAAAUAUACCCUGGUGUGAGCCAGUUAAUGGCUGGCUGUUUCUUCAUCCAAGAAGUUCAACCAGGCUGUUAGGAUGUGCUCCUGUCAAUAGUUGUAACAAAACUAAUUGGUACGUACCCUUAUCCAUCCUGACUGGAGAAUCUUCUGCUUUGAUAUUUAUACUCCUGGAACACUUGUGGAUUCUUAUCAUGCCCCCCCGUUGUCAGAUACCUGACAUUUUGAAGACCCAGCUGUUGUGUGUGGGAACUAAUGAAUCUAGUUUAAGAGAGGCUAGCUAGAAUGAAGCCAAAUUAUUACUUUUUAAAUCUAUACGCACAUUUCAAAUGGUACAUUGCAAUGGUUUUAUAAUAUUCUUAUAUGGAGUUUUACAACUGUCCCACAGGUGUGUGUUACUCUAAAAAUAUGUGAGAGUUGUAUAUUUUACAAAUCAGUUUAGCUGGAGAAACAAAGAAAAAUGCCCUGUCUCCUUUGUCUUCUAUGUCAGAUUCUUCCACAAGAUGGAUAACUUAUCUAGCUUGGAAAUGUUUGUAGUUCUUCUCUGGUCAAUUAUCUAAACAGGAUACAACUGAGCUGAUGUCAAAACAAAGACUACACACAUGUAUACUACUGGCUGUGAUAAAAGCUGCUCUUCUACACAACUUCCAGCUUGUGAAACCUGACUGGUUUUGCAUAAUAGCUAAGCCCCAGGAAGUAUAAAAUUAGUGGGAGUACUUGCAAUGUGGCCAAGUUACAGUUUUACAGUCGUUUGGAGGUCAGCAGCAAAUUGACAUCUACACUCAGUCCUGCAGGGAAAGUCUCUGUAGGGACAGAGCUCUUAGGCAAACGUCCAUGAUUUCCCUGUGGCCAUAUGGAAAACCUGGGGCUGAAAAUGGGGCUGAGCUCAUAUUUGCAAGCUAAUGCCAGAGUUACCAAGACAAUCUUUCUUGUCAUUUAUCUGGGGCAGACUUCGAAACCUAAGCCCCAAAGAAAGAUUUUUGAAGAAGAAAAUCCAGGCCUGAGGUCUCACAGGGCAGGCACUCUUUCUUUUCUCCCAGCUUUUGGGUUCUCUUUUUUGUAUUACUUAACUUGAAAAGGAUGUUUCAAUGAGAAAAAGGUUAAACUCCUAAACAAGACUACCAAGUUUAUAAAUGAUAUUAUCUCUCAAAUAGUUAAUGCCUCACUUCUCAGUUAAACUAUUUUGUUUUUUUCAAACUUGGCAGACUUCUAGGUCGGCUAAUUAACAGUGUAACUGGGCUGUAACCAGAUGAUCUCUAUGAUACGACAAGCAGCAUGUGAGCAGCAAUAAUAGCAGUAGACUAACUUCAGAAUGCUGUGAGUUGCUCUGAGCUUCACCAACAGAUUUGUUGAUCAGCUCCAGAUUUUACAAUGUCAUUUUUCUUCUUUUACAGAAAAACUGUCACCAGAGCUGGUUACAGCUCACAUCUGCAAAUGCAAAAAGUUGUAUGGAGACAAUGGCGCACAGGAAGACUUGCUAGGCUAUGGAUUAAGCCAAUUAUUUAGAGAAGAUGGUGUGCUCAAGGAAAGCUCAAAACUUGAAAGCAGAGAUUAGGUGCCUUUCUAAGGAGAAUAGGUGGAGGGACAAGAUUUGAGGAAAAAAAACCUGCUGAAGAAAAUGUUCCAGUUACUGUGAAAACAGAAAAGGAGGGGGGUAAUAAAAGAAUGAAGCCUAUCUAGUUUCAAAAUUUGGCUGAAGAAAAAGAAGUAGUAAAAAUCACUACUACAGAUGAGAUCCAAAGAUAAUCUUACGGGAUGUAGAAAGAUCUGUACUGUAUCCUGCAACUAUCAGAAACCACAUGGGAAAGAAGAUUUUUUAAGAAGCAGUUUAAAAGACAAAGUGGAGAUUUGGAGGUGUCCAGCUAGAGCUAUGGUUGAUGUUCAGGUAGGAAGUUCUCAAAAUGUCCUGAAUUCCAGGCUUAUAUCUGUCUGUCAAUGCAGUCUAUGCUACAGCUGCUCAACACUGAUGAAGAAACUCUCUGAAUCUCUGAACCUUUUGUUUUCUCCAUCUCCUACUAGUAGCAGGUGAUGAGGAAAACACAGUUAGGAGUUCUCUUUCUGAUGAAGCUUUUGAGUUCUCCGUGCAUAAGCACUUUGUCUGUGACAUGAAAACUACUCCCCAGCAUCUGGACACAACUCAGGCAAGAUUUUUCCUGUAGGUUUUUGGUUAACAAGUUGGGCUGAUGUACCUUCACCUCAGCUGUAAAUGAAUCCUCUCUUGGCACUUGUACAGUGUGCCAUUCCCAGGAAGAUUUGGGAGUUUGUUGGCAUGUCCUGCCCCUGGCUCACAUAUUCCCUGGCAUCACUCUGACAUUCCUACAACAAUUUAUAUCCCCAGCAGAUCACUUCCCAAGUAAAUAUGGCAUAGCAGCUCAGAGGGUGGUCGAGGACUGCUCAAUACAUUCAUCUGGAUAUAUGCAGAUCUAAAGUGCUCUUUUUCUGUGCCUUGGUGCUUUGCCACCAACCAAAAAUUCCCGCUCUCCCUCCUGCUGUGAUCUUCCUCCCACAGACCAGCCUUGCUGGUGAUUUUGUCUUGCUCCUCCCUUCCCCAGCAAGCUUCUUGCUCUGACAAAUUCUCCCUUGGCUACAAUAGCUCCUGCCGGGUUCCUCCCAGUCUGUGGUCAUGGUUGCUGGGGUGGAUGUGAGCAUACCUGGCUCCAAGGCCACAAACUCUCCCUUUGCACCCCUAACAGCCCAGGAACUGCUUCAAAUUCAUGAAUCCAUCCUGCAUAUAAUUUGAAAGUGCACUUUCUUCAGAGGAAAAAUAAAUUGCAAGAAGGAAAGCGUCUCUACCUGAAACCAAGCCUGUGUUGUUUUGGGAGUGGAAAAGAAUCCCUAAACAAGAUGACAAAAACACACAGUAUAUUAUUUUGAUUACAGUUGUUCAAACUGAAUAUUUUUACAGAUCUGAAAAUAAUUAAAGGGAUUAAAAAAUA